rnacentral:rRNA from 1 species
UUUGAUCAUGGCUCAGAUUGAACGCUGGCGGCAGGCCUAACACAUGCAAGUCGAACGGUAACAGGAAGAAGCUUGCUUCUUUGCUGACGAGUGGCGGACGGGUGAGUAAUGUCUGGGAAACUGCCUGAUGGAGGGGGAUAACUACUGGAAACGGUAGCUAAUACCGCAUAACGUCGCAAGACCAAAGAGGGGGACCUUCGGGCCUCUUGCCAUCGGAUGUGCCCAGAUGGGAUUAGCUUGUUGGUGGGGUAACGGCUCACCAAGGCGACGAUCCCUAGCUGGUCUGAGAGGAUGACCAGCCACACUGGAACUGAGACACGGUCCAGACUCCUACGGGAGGCAGCAGUGGGGAAUAUUGCACAAUGGGCGCAAGCCUGAUGCAGCCAUGCCGCGUGUAUGAAGAAGGCCUUCGGGUUGUAAAGUACUUUCAGCGGGGAGGAAGGGAGUAAAGUUAAUACCUUUGCUCAUUGACGUUACCCGCAGAAGAAGCACCGGCUAACUCCGUGCCAGCAGCCGCGGUAAUACGGAGGGUGCAAGCGUUAAUCGGAAUUACUGGGCGUAAAGCGCACGCAGGCGGUUUGUUAAGUCAGAUGUGAAAUCCCCGGGCUCAACCUGGGAACUGCAUCUGAUACUGGCAAGCUUGAGUCUCGUAGAGGGGGGUAGAAUUCCAGGUGUAGCGGUGAAAUGCGUAGAGAUCUGGAGGAAUACCGGUGGCGAAGGCGGCCCCCUGGACGAAGACUGACGCUCAGGUGCGAAAGCGUGGGGAGCAAACAGGAUUAGAUACCCUGGUAGUCCACGCCGUAAACGAUGUCGACUUGGAGGUUGUGCCCUUGAGGCGUGGCUUCCGGAGCUAACGCGUUAAGUCGACCGCCUGGGGAGUACGGCCGCAAGGUUAAAACUCAAAUGAAUUGACGGGGGCCCGCACAAGCGGUGGAGCAUGUGGUUUAAUUCGAUGCAACGCGAAGAACCUUACCUGGUCUUGACAUCCACGGAAGUUUUCAGAGAUGAGAAUGUGCCUUCGGGAACCGUGAGACAGGUGCUGCAUGGCUGUCGUCAGCUCGUGUUGUGAAAUGUUGGGUUAAGUCCCGCAACGAGCGCAACCCUUAUCCUUUGUUGCCAGCGGUCCGGCCGGGAACUCAAAGGAGACUGCCAGUGAUAAACUGGAGGAAGGUGGGGAUGACGUCAAGUCAUCAUGGCCCUUACGACCAGGGCUACACACGUGCUACAAUGGCGCAUACAAAGAGAAGCGACCUCGCGAGAGCAAGCGGACCUCAUAAAGUGCGUCGUAGUCCGGAUUGGAGUCUGCAACUCGACUCCAUGAAGUCGGAAUCGCUAGUAAUCGUGGAUCAGAAUGCCACGGUGAAUACGUUCCCGGGCCUUGUACACACCGCCCGUCACACCAUGGGAGUGGGUUGCAAAAGAAGUAGGUAGCUUAACCUUCGGGAGGGCGCUUACCACUUUGUGAUUCAUGACUGGGGUGAAGUCGUAACAAGGUAACCGUAGGGGAACCUGCGGUUGGAUCACCUCCUUACCUUAAAGAAGC